ACUUUAUAUAAAAUCAAACAUACACCACACAUAUCAAUGACAAUGAAUCAGGAUACGUACCUCAGUUUUCCCGCAGCGAUCACUUCCACGUGCGAAUAGAUGUGAUGAUCAAGCACAUGCGCAGUACUGAUGAGGAGUCGACUCCAAAAGAGUCGAUUCCUUGAAUCUGACCAGCCCAGUUUUCGAAGUAGACUUAAUAUAAAAUUAUUAAUAUUCAACUCAGGCUGUGUCUCCACUAAUUUGGGAGUCACUCUAAAAGAACCUGAAACCGAUUACACGAGGGACAAUAGCAGUUUAAAGUUUUUAUGACUGAAGCAGAAUUUCAGCACAACUGCAAAUAACGCUGACUCUCAAUGUGGUUUUCACUAUUGUUUUUUAGGUUCUUCCAUGCUGAUGGCUGUGCUCUAGAGUCAUAUCUCCUGUCGAAGAACAUUUUUAGACAUUAUGAACCAUGAAAAAGUUUAGCUCCAACCCCAGUUAAGCAGAUCGGGGCAGCCUGAUCAAGGAUCACCAGAAACUCUGCAGAACAUUGGUCCUCCAGCCCAGGACUGGACACCAGUGUUAGUGUCUGUCUCAGAAGCUGAAGAAAAGAGGCCACACCUCAGAGGAAAUAAGCGCCCCCUAAGUGUACAGAAAUACGUGGCAGAGAAGAUCAGUUACAAACCAGAUAAAACUGUCAGUGGUCUAAGACAGCUACAAUGAAGCCACAAAUGCAGUUCAUAGUUCCUGUAUUUCUAUAAUGCA